UGUCGACAUUCCGUGCGACCGGCUGCGUUCAGGCAUCAAAUUGGGGAACUGUUCAGUCGCUGUAGAGCACGCAUACGAAUGACAACGCUUUGCGGAUAUGCGCGAGUCAAUCGGUGUCUGACUUAAAUGAAUUCUUGUGUUGAAAUUACGUACAGCAAUGCUGAUUGUAAAUUUACGAAAAAUGUAAAAUUUGAAUGAAAUUGUUAAAACACAGUGAAUUGUUGAAUAAUUUGAAUAAUUAUGUGAAAUAUAAGUGUAUGAAUUUAAAUGUUUAUCGUUAACGAGUCAAUUGUAACGAAAUUUUCGGCAUUUCAAACGUGUAAAUGUAUUUUAAGCGAAAUUUCCAAUUAUGGGUUAGAGCUACCUACCGAGGCAAAUGCCUAAGCGGCACAGACACGCGGUUCAAGUGGUAAAAGCGCGCUCACGCAGUUCCAAAGCCAACGGUGUGCAYCUAGCUGGACAGCGCGGUCGGGUCAAGCGCGCCAUACCGUUCAAGAGAGGCUGUGCCRAGAUUUCCAGCAGCGCAGCAGCUAAUGUGCGCAAUGCCUCAAGUGCGCGUUGCGCUUAUGGGGCGAACUUUUAAUACAURAGUUACGCCGAUUCAGAGUUUCGAAAAAAAUCCGAAAAAAUUUCAUUUAAAAAAAAAUUAKAAAAUUUGUGUUCAAAAGUGAAUUACGCCAAUAUUUUCCAAUACAAAAAUUUUAACUUGGAAAUUCCGAACAACAACAAAAACAAAAAAUGUUUGUGUAAAAUAAGUUCUACGUGUUGUUUAAACUAAGAAAUUCCGAACAACAACAACAAAAAUGUUUGUGUGAAAUAAAUUCUAUAUGUUAUGCUCUAUGUGGUACGCGRAGGCAAACGACGAAAAAUAAAAGCGUGCAUAAAUAAUUUGAAAGUGCACUACAACUCGAAAGUAAAAGGAAAAGCAAAAUGCAAGCAACAACAACAACAAGCUGAAUAAAUAUUUGCUAUUUGUGUGUACAAAAAAAAAAAAAUAGAAAAUAAAAGCGGGCGACGCGAUGCCAGCGAAAUUGUCACGCGUUAAGCGUCUUUGUGAAAAUGUGAAAAUUCGAAAGAUUCCGCCCAAGUGUCUGCUCGCCGUAGUGUUUUGUGCAAUUGUGUAAUCAUUUGCGAAGAUUGGCAGAAAAUUUUCAAAAAAAAAAAAAAAAAAAAAAAUUGGGAAAUAUAAAAAAUUGAUUUACAUAAAAAGCAAAAGUGGUUUUCUGUGGCCAGAAAAGUGCAAUAAAGUAGCAAACUCAAUUCGAGACUUAUUAACUACCGGCAUAACUAGCUGGCGGUGCGCCAGUCACGAGCGGCAGACUGCAGCGACGAAAGGGAAAAAAGUUACUUAUGAUACUCUGGCAUUCUUCCAUUUUCCAAACGGUGUUUUAACGUAAUACAUGCAGCUACAACAGCAAUAAACAACAACUACUUAGAUUACAAUCGUGUUGAACGUAAUAUAUAAUUGUGCUAAGGGUAGAAUCAGCCAAAGCGUAACAAACAAACAGUGCUUAUAGUGGCCUAAAGGCGCAUGCGCGCUAACAACAAUUGGCAAAGCCAACGUCUGAUGCCAAUGCGUUUGACCAAUAAAUUGCUCCACCGCUGUGUGAAUAUUAUUAUGGCGAGAAGAUCGACGUCUAUGCAAAGUGAGAAAAAAUGCAUUAUCAACGAGGAAGACGAAGAUGAAAAUCAGCGACAAUUAAAAUUAUAUUGUGUAAAAUAUUGCAACAAUAUGGUGACCUAAAUACGUGGUACACGAGAAAAAAAAGUAAAAGCCAUAAAUAAAUCAUUAUAAAUAUAUUUAACAAAAAAUAUAAAAAAUAACAACAAAAAUUAAAAAAAAAAAUAAUUGAAAUGAAAUUCGCAUGCUUAAAAUAAGCGACUUGAAAAAAGUGUAUUUUCCAAAAUUUCAGAGUCAGCAACAGUAAAUUUCCAGUUCAAGAAAUCGAGUUUCGAAAAAAGUAAAAGUUAAUUGCAUUGAUUUAUUUUGCAUACAAUCAAUAAAUUAAA